rnacentral:sRNA from 1 species
GAAUCUGGCAGUAGAGAUGCAAAGAACCACUGGAUCGAGUGGCGCCAGUAGGGGACACAUCUUGGCUCAUAACCGAUGCAGCGGACAGCAGCCUUGGCGUACUCCUCGGGUGAUGGUAUAAACGGCGAGUUACCCUGGACAGGUGACAUCUUUGUGGCGACAUAUAAUGGUAUCUGCACAAAAAAUUGGUUAGGGCACCACUUGAGAUGACAAUGGAGAAAUAUGUGAUGAUGGAUUGACUUACGCUUUGGUCGCUGCGUACACGGCGUAGAGCGGGAACGCCGGCACGACGACGGAGGAGCCGGAGCCGACGUUGACGACGGCACCCCUCCCCUUCGCCGCCAUGGCCGGCACGAGGGCGCGCGCGAUCCUCGUCGCCGCCACCACGUUCACCCGCAGCACCGCCUCCCAGACCGCGUCGGGCACCUCGUGGAAGUACGCCGCGCACGGGUACGUCGCGCCGGCGUUGUUCACGAGCAGCCCCACGUCGAGCCCCUCCACGGCCGCCGCCACCCUCGCCACGCCGCGGGACAGCUCGCCGCCCCCGACGUCG